UGUGUAGUAUAAGUAUAUCCCAUGCAAUAUUUGGGACAUACUUAUACUAAAA
rnacentral:pre_miRNA from 8 species